CGAGGUGUGAAAUUUGUUUUUUUCUAGGCUUUAUUCUCGACAAAAGUUGUUUUGCUCUUGGGCUAAGCUACUUUCUUGGACCUGACACUCUUCCUCUCUUGAGACACUUAAAUAAUUGUCCAUUCAUCAAAGACAGGCUUCUUGGGAAUAAAUUCAAUCUGAUGAGUGUUUUCUUUGCAUUUUUGCAACGGAGUCUCGGGAUCACCUCCUGCUCCUCUGAAGCAGGAUAAUAAACCAGACGUGUUCUUUUGUUUCGAGGUAGUUUUGUCAUUAAUCAUUAAAAAUUAAUUCGUCUUCUAUAAAUUUUGGCUUAUCGUUAGAAAAAUGUAGUGGUCAUAUCAUCGUCUGUGUGAUUUGAUUCGCAAAAUUAGAGUAUUCUCAAGGUGUUGACCUACAUAUAUUAAUAUGUAAUUGUGUAUAUGUUGUGUAAUUUUCAAAUGUUUGUUUUAAA